UUAUUAGUCCACAUCAUUUAAAUUAUAUCUCUUAUUUAAAAAUUCAUUUAGGCAUUUUGAAAUUAGAAAAAUACAUAAUAAAAUUAAUAAAAUAUCUCAUAAAAUUAAAAAAUCAUUUUUUUUUUCCUCUUCUUCUUCUUCUUCUUCUUCUUCUUCUUCUUCUUCUUCUUCUUCUUCUUCUUCUUCUUUAAAAUUUAUCAUCCCUUUGGUUCUCUUUUUUUAUUUCCAUCUAUUUGAUUCUCAUUCUCUCUAUUGCAAACUAUAACUUUGCUUCUCUAUCUAUUAGUAAAGCUAAAAACCCCAAAUUAUAAUCCUACCACACAUGCACACAUUAACUUGUAGUUUGAGAAGCUUUUGACAAUCAUAGAUGAAAGCUAUACAAAAGAUGAUUCAGAGAAACACACCAUUAACGAUUGAGGAUUGGGCAGAUCGAGUCUUCAAAAACGACUUGAUCGACCACCUUCCUAUACUUAGGCAACCACCACCGCAAGCUCAGGAAGGUACAAUAAGGAUGUGGCUUUCCAUUUUGAGACUUUUAAAUUCGAGGUUGAUGCAUCGGAUGAGUUCUCUUGGCAAACAGGGAUUGGAAGAGAAGAUCGAUUGAAAGAGAUAGAUCUAGUGGAAAAAUAAUUUAGAGACGUGCAACUUUGAGAAUCAAUAUUUGUACAUUUUGUUUCAUGCUUUGGUAUUAUAAUAUGUGUUGUGUAUAUAUUAUGGAAAACCAUUUCAAUUGUACAAAUCUGAGUUUUUUGGGUUUUUUUUCCUAA